rnacentral:misc_RNA from 1 species
UACGUAGGUGGCAAGCGUUGUCCGGAUUUACUGGGCGUAAAGAGUAUGUAGGCGGAUACUUAAGUAGAAAGUGAAAGGUUGGAGCUCAACUCCAACAUUGCUUCCUAUACUGGGUAUCUUGAGUGCUGGAGAGGAAAGCGGAACGACACGUGUAGCGGUGAAAUGCGUUGAUAUGUGUCGGAACACCAAUGGCGAAGGCAGCUUUCUGGACAGAAACUGACGCUGAGAUACGAAAGCGUGGGUAGCGAACAGG